ACUAUUUUGGCAGAUAAAUGUGAUGAUUUUAGAAUUCAUAAAUGUAUAAUUUAAUUAUAUAGAUAGUA
rnacentral:tRNA from 1 species